ACUCCUACGGGAGGCAGCAGUGGGGAAUAUUGCACAAUGGGCGCAAGCCUGAUGCAGCCAUGCCGCGUGUGUGAAGAAGGCCUUCGGGUUGUAAAGCACUUUCAGUCGUGAGGAAGGUAGUGUAGUUAAUAGCUGCAUUAUUUGACGUUAGCGACAGAAGAAGCACCGGCUAACUCCGUGCCAGCAGCCGCGGUAAUACGGAGGGUGCGAGCGUUAAUCGGAAUUACUGGGCGUAAAGCGCAUGCAGGUGGUUUGUUAAGUCAGAUGUGAAAGCCCGGGGCUCAACCUCGGAAUUGCAUUUGAAACUGGCAGACUAGAGUACUGUAGAGGGGGGUAGAAUUUCAGGUGUAGCGGUGAAAUGCGUAGAGAUCUGAAGGAAUACCGGUGGCGAAGGCGGCCCCCUGGACAGAUACUGACACUCAGAUGCGAAAGCGUGGGGAGCAAACAGGAUUAGAUACCCUGGUA
rnacentral:rRNA from 1 species